GUCUCUGCGGUGCAGUCGGUAAGCGCGUCCGGCUGUUAACCGAAAGGUGGGUGGUUCGAGCCCAUCCAGAGACG